UUCCUACGGGAGGCAGCAGUGGGGAAUCUUGCGCAAUGGUCGCAAGGCUGACGCAGCGACGCCGCGUGGAGGACGAAGGCCUUCGGGUUGUAAACUCCUUUUCUGGGGGACGAAUAAGGUCAGUAGGUAAUGGCUGACCGAUGACGGUACCCCAGGAACAAGCGCCGGCUAACUUCGUGCCAGCAGCCGCGGUAAUACGAAGGGCGCAAGCGUUAUCCGGAAUUACUGGGCGUAAAGGGCGUCUAGGCGGUCGGUCAAGUCAGUCGUGAAAGUCCUUGGCUAAACUGAGGAAAGUCGACCGAUACUGAUCGGCUAGAGGGACGUAGAGGUAAGCGGAACUCUCGGAGUAGCGGUGAAAUGCGUAGAGACCGAGAGGUACCCCGAUGGUGAAGACAGCUUACUGGGCGUCUCCUGACGCUGAAGCGCUAAGGCCAGGGGAGCGAAGGGGAUUAGAUACCCCCGUAGUCCUGGCUUCAAACUAUGUGGGCUUGGUGUCGGCU
rnacentral:rRNA from 1 species